rnacentral:rRNA from 1 species
GUUCGGGAAGCGAGCGUACACAGGUGCUGCAUGGCUGUCGUCAGCUCGUGUCGUGAGAUGGUUGGGUUAACGUCCCGCAACGAGCGCCAACCCCUGCUAUUCAGUUCGCCAGUCGGGUAAUGCCGGGCACUCUGGAAGGACUGCCAUCGACAAGAUGGAGGAAGGUGGGGAUGACGUCAAGUCAUCAUGGCCCUUAUGUCCAGGGCGACACACGUGCUACAAUGGCCGGCACAACGGGAAGCGAGUUCGCGAGGACAAGCGGAUCCCUUAAAGCCGGUCGCAGUUCGGAUUGAAGUCUGCAACUCGACUUCAUGAAGCUGGAAUCGCUAGUAAUCGUGGAUCAGCCAAGCCGCGGUGAAUACGUUCCCGGGCCUU